rnacentral:rRNA from 1 species
UGGGGAAUAUUGCACAAUGGGCGCAAGCCUGAUGCAGCCAUGCCGCGUGUAUGAAGAAGGCCUUCGGGUUGUAAAGUACUUUCAGCAGUGAGGAAGGUGGUAGUGUUAAUAGCACUAUCAUUUGACGUUAGCUGCAGAAGAAGCACCGGCUAACUCCGUGCCAGCAGCCGCGGUAAUACGGAGGGUGCGAGCGUUAAUCGGAAUUACUGGGCGUAAAGCGCAUGCAGGUGGUUUGUUAAGUCAGAUGUGAAAGCCCGGGGCUCAACCUCGGAAUUGCAUUUGAAACUGGCAGACUAGAGUACUGUAGAGGGGGGUAGAAUUUCAGGUGUAGCGGUGAAAUGCGUAGAGAUCUGAAGGAAUACCGGUGGCGAAGGCGGCCCCCUGGACAGAUACUGACACUCAGAUGCGAAAGCGUGGGGAGCAAACAGGAUUAGAUACCCCCGUAGUCC